CGGUCAAAUAAGAAGGCUGCCAGGUCGAUAAUUGUGAGUCUAUUGCUAUUCCCCUCUUCCUUAAUUUUAUUUGUCACAUCUCUUAAGGUGUGGAUGGAAUAGGAAUUUUGCUGUAUGUGUAAUAGAGCAAAAGAGAUGUAUUUUUUGUUGUUGUUUUUUUUACUUUAUUUCAGACGUUACCAGCCUCUAUUCUUUCAAGCUUUCUGCAUCUCAGAC